rnacentral:rRNA from 1 species
AUGAAUGAACAACUAUCUUUAGUGAACUGGAAUGUGAGGGGUUUGAAUGAUAGAGCACGUCGCGCGGCUGUACGUGCGAUGGUUGAAGGCACACGUUGCUCCAUUGUGUGCAUCCAAGAAUCCAAGCUCGCUGUCACCUCUGUUAGGGACCGAGGGGAGAUCGUCGGAUCUCGCUUUGACGAACACACGGCCCUGGACGCUGAUGGAACGAGGGGAGGAAUUCUG